rnacentral:rRNA from 1 species
UACGUAGGUGGCAAGCGUUGUCCGGAUUUAUUGGGUUUAAAGGGUGCGUAGGCGGCCCUGUAAGUCAGUGGUGAAAUACUCCAGCUUAACUGGAGGGGUGCCAUUGAUACUGCAGGGCUUGAGUACAGAUGAAGUAGGCGGAAUUGACGGUGUAGCGGUGAAAUGCAUAGAUAUCAAGCAGAACACCUGCGGCGAAGGCGGCCUUCUGGACGAUGACUGACGCUGAGACGCGAAAGCGUGGGGAGCAAACAGG